CGCUGGAAGGGGAUGGAGUUCGAACUGCGCGGGCUGCGCGCCCGCCUCGACCUGCUGGGCGACAGCCCGGUGCAGUUCGGCCCGGCGA
rnacentral:tRNA from 2 species